GUGCUCGCUUCGGCAGCACAUAUACUAAAAAAUUGGAAUGAUACAGAGAAGAUUAGCAAGGCCCCUGAGCAAGGAUGGCGUGCAAAUUAGUGAAGUGUUCCAUAUUUUU
ensembl:snRNA U6 U6 spliceosomal RNA